rnacentral:lncRNA from 1 species
UUUACUGUCAAAGGUAUUAUUCUUUCCAAAUAUAUAGAAGGCUCUUCAAAAGUCCAGCACAUACUUGUGAUGGGUUCGUUCAAAAUUUCAGGUACUUAGGGAAGCAAAGAGUUUUCUACUUGCAAACAUUUACAAAUCUGUUUGUGAAAACGAAAAAUAUGCAAACAUUAGAAAGAGGUAACUUGGCUUCUGUCAAUGAUUAUUACACAGUCCUAAUAAUAUGAUCUUUUUCACUAGUAAACCAAUCUUUCUUAAAUGUUUAAAUUAACUUAUUUUGAAUAACACCUUGAAUUCCGUUCUUUCCAUUCCAAUUAUUCCGGCUGAGUUCCUGACUUUGGUCCCCUCUAAUCUCGACGAAUACAAGAAGCUCGAAUCCUACGCCCUAAUUGGCCUCCCUCCCUCUUAUUCCACACGCUUCCUGGAAUCUGAAGAAAUGAAAACCAAAUAUUCCAUCAUAAUUAUCCACGACAACUUCAGCUGUGGUUCUUCACGAGAGCACGCGCUGUUGCGUUGGGAGCGUCCGACGUUGUGGCGAUAGUGGAUGAAUCUUAUGCACAUAUUUUCUUCACAGCAAACUCCAUGGCAACUAGAGAGAUUUAUCGAUUGAAAUCGGAGACUAGAAUUUCUGCGUAUUUUAAAAUUAAAAAAUAAUAAUAAUAAUAAUAAAACUAUUUUAAACACUUAAAUAGACUAAAUGAUGAAGUGAUAUGAUUGACAUAUUUUUCGGUCUACAAUAUAUAUAUCUUCUUAAAUUAUAUUUAAAAAUAAAUUAAUAAUUAUUUAUUCUUAACUAAAUUUUAGUGAAUAAGUAAGACUAACUUUAUAAUUUAUGAAUAUACAGUAUGAAAUACAUUUAAACUAGAAUUUAAAUAUUUAAUAUGCUACGAAUUUUAUAGAACUUUUUUCAAACCACCAAAAAAGAACUUACAAUAAGAUAUUCCUAAAUAUGAGGAAUAUCAUCUUCUUUAAAAAGGAGAUAUUUAAGAAAGAUCUCUUGACUCUUUAUUAAAAGAUAUUGAUAAAUGAUCCUAAAUAUAAAGAAAAUAUUUCACAUUUUUUAAAUAAAAACAAAACUAUUCAUAUUUGUCAAAAAAAAAAUCUGACAAAACAUUUGAAAGUAAUUAACGAGAAUUGACAAAAUAAAUUUUAGUCCAUGUCCUAUUUAGAGUUGAUUUAAUUUUAGCUAUUUAAAUUUUAUCGACUUCCAAUAAAUCUUAAAUUUAGUCUUUACUAUACUAGUUAACAAUAAAAUUUCUCAUUGCCUUUUGUUUUCUAUUAGCAUGCAUUUUCACUAUGAAUUUUAAAAAUAUAUUAAUAUAUUGUGUUCUCUUGCAUGAAAAAUAUUAACUUCGGGAGACUACAUUUAAGUACAUACAUUCAUCACUAAAAUUAAACAUUUGAAAUUAAAGUAAAAUGGCUAAAAUUGAACCAUAGUUUUUAUUUUGUUUUACUUUAUUUCAUUUAUUGGGAGCUCUUUUCCCAGUGAAUGGAACAAGUAAGCAAAAGGUAAUAUAACUUACACUUGAAAAUGUGAAGUUUUAAGCAUAUAUAUAUAUACAUAUAUAUAUAUAUAUAUAUAUAUAUAAUCAAAUUAUUUAAGAGGUAUGAAUAAAAAGAAUUAAUUAAGGAGUUUACUUAAUAUGUAUUUGAUUAAGGUUAUGAAAAUUAAAUAUAAAAUAAAACAACAACUCAAUUUUAUUGAAUAUGAAUAAGUAGUUUAAUUACAAACUAUACAGGGUAAAGAGCAUAUAAAAAAAGGGAACCCAUAAUACAAAAGAUGUUCUAAUUAACAUCAUUACGAACUAAUCUGAAAACUACUUCACUGGAGAACAUAAGUCUGCAAAUCUUCAAGUUUAAACACGUACAACCGCUCCUUCCAACUCUUGACCAUUAUUUUCUUUGAUUCUAUUACCAAAUUAGAACUACAUAUUAUUUUCUAUUUGAAAGAAAAAUCACAUAUAAAUUUAUAAUUGCAAUUUAAAUUGAAGAUCACCAAACAUUCUUUUGAGUAAUUACUUGUACUUAAUACUUUGAAGAAAAAAACUUGUAUAGAUAUAUUCUCAACUGUCCUAGAGGUACGUAAAUCAUUUAUGCAAACCCUAAUUGUUUCUAACAUUUCAUGCACGUGUCAUUGAAAAAAUUGAUUACAUAGAGAUAAAAUAAUUAAAUUGCACAUUACCUCAUGCGCCCGACUCCAAUAUCUUUCAAAUUCUUUCAUAGAAUCGAGAUUCUCGUUGAAAUCAAACACUGGGUUGAUCAUCUUGUCAAGAGCUUCCCUUGAAGCUCUUUUUUGUUCUUGCAAUAUUGAGCAUGUCUUCGGAGUCGCACCAAUGACAACAUAUUCAUACUUAUUUGAAUCAUUAUUGGAUUUUUGAAGUUUUUGUUGAGCCUUCCAAAUGGUGCUUCCAAAUUUGGCUUUUAGCACUUCAACUCGAGCAGCCCGUCUUGGUGACAACACUACAAUAGUAGUGUUUGGCUUUAUGGGCAAUAGCUCAAUGUUAUUCUUCUUUGGUGAUAGGCAUUUGAAGUUUGUCAAUUCAUGAUCACCGUUCGAUUCCUUUCUUUGGUGAAUGUUAUAUGGUUUCAUAGUCUUUGUAACUUUGGUUGAAAGAACUUUGGGUUUUAACAUAUGAUAGUCUAUAUAUCUCCGUUUUGUUUGCAUCAUCCUCAUCUUUUUGAAUGCUUGCUGAGAGAAAACGUGACGAAGAGAUGUCAAGCAAAAAAUAUAUAUAUAUAUUCCAUAAUUACUAUUGGAUGCAUUGUUAUUAUAUAUUAGAAACAAAAUUGCAGGAUAAUUAAACUUAGAAGAAGAAGAAAAAACGCACACGAGAAAUGAUUUGGAGGACGUAUGAAGCUGUGAUGAAAUUAGAGACAAUCUUGAAAUUAUGAUGUAAUAUGAAACUUCAUUUUAUUCAUAUAUAUUUGUAAUAUACUUUAGUUUUAAUUUUUACUGAUUUUUUGUUUUGAUAUUUUGUAAUUGAACUUGGAUAUGUAUAUUAGUUUUUUAUCCAUUUGAACCAGAAAUUUACAAGGAAGAAUUGGAAAUAUGUCCUCUUAAAUAUGAGUCCAAAUUUUCAAAUUUUGGAAUAAGCAACGUUUUAAAUUUUCAAAUUUUGGUUUGGUAUAAGCAAUGUUUUAAAUUUUCAUGUUGAAAGCAUAUCAAUAAAAGACUUAAUUUCACAAAAAUGAUAAUGAAAAUAUACUUAAAAUAUACUCAAGAAAUGCAACAAACAGCUUAGAUGGACGGAGUUUGUACAUGGAAACAAAAUGUAACCUAAUUAAACUUGAGAAAAAGAAACCAUCAUUAAAUUGAUCUAGUGGUAUAAAUGUCGUAACUAACUCAGAGAUCAUGGGUUGAAUAUAAGGUUGUUUUAGUGGUAAAAAUGUCAUAACUAAUUAAGAGGUCAUGGGUUGGAUCUAUAAUGACUACCUAUCUAGGAAUUAAUUUGCCGUGGGUUUCCUUUAGUACACUAACAAAUAUAAAAAAGCCUUAAAGAAAAGGAAAGAAAAGCUCACCGAAAAUAAUAUGGAAAAAUGUUCGAGAGAAGUUGCGAAUUAUGAAGAAAAGAAUCUGCCUCGUAGAGAGAAAAAUCAAGAAUCCAGCUCGUAUAGAGAAAUAUGAUUGAAUUGAGUGUGAUUUGUGUAUAUAUAUUUUCUUUUUGAACCAAAUUAAUUUGCCGCCAUAUCCUAAAUUGUAAUUAUUGUCUUUUUAUCCUAAUUUUUUGUAAUAUAAAUAAAUAUAUAAAAACAAACAAACAAAAUUUAUGACUAAAGAUUCAAUUUAUAAUUUUUCAAUAUAUAUUUAUUUUCGGACGUCCGAUCGUUUCGCGCCAAACUCAUGAGCCCAUAAUAUUUCCACACUCAACGCUGGUAGUGCUCAAUCGGCCACGCACAAGAGAAAGAAUGGACGACGAGAGAUCGAGCUUCGUGGUCGCUCUGAUCGAGAACAGAGCCAAGGAGGUAUGUUUCUGCAUUUCCUCGCAAGUUGAUAGGAAAAUAUUUCCUACAUUUUCUUAUUUUGCCUUUAAUCUUUUUGUGAUUCUGGAACAACAACAAUGAGUGAUCUCAGAGUUCCUUAAUGGAACGUUUUAUGAAGAAAUGAUACGGCAGUUCUAUGGCUGAAUUAUUCUGCUCCAUCUCCUAAAACUAGACAGUACAGGCCGCGCAUGAUGAAUUUAUAUGUACCGAUUCUUUUUGUGCACUUCCUUUUAGCUUUAAUGCCUUUGUACGAACUUAUUGAGUAAUGAAAUGAUGAUUUAUGCUGCUUAGUGCGGAGAUAAGUAAUUUGGAGGUUGUUUUGCGGUUGAGUAAAUCAUUCUUAAGCUUAAAUUGGAACGGUUUAUACUCUCUAAAUUUUAAUUAAGGACAUGAAUCUGAGAGAUAGAGGUUAGUUCAUUUUACCGUAUAACUGCUUGCCGAAGAUUUGGCUUCGGCUACUAACAUAGGUGAAUUGCUUACUUGAGAUCAAUCCUCGUCCAGGUUGGAGUUGCUGCGUUUGACUUGAGAUCAGCUUCACUUCAUCUUUCUCAAUAUAUCGAGACCAGCAGCUCCUACCAGAAUACAAAAACAUUGCUGCAUUUUUAUGAGCCAAUGGUCAUACUUGUUUCCCCUAACAAGCUCGCACCUGAUGGCAUGGUUGGAGUUUCUGUUUUGGCUGAUAGAUUUUUUGCUACCGUGAAGAAGGUCAACUUAAAUUGCUUGCCCGUGGAGAUUGGUUGCCUUUAUAGAAAAACUUAAAUUGAAUUUUAAACUCUGUAGGUUGUAAUGGCACGCUCUUGCUUUGAUGACACAAAGGUAUUUUCCUUUGUCUUCUUUUCUAUUUAAAGUUUUAUUUGAUGGUUACUGUAUUGGAUGUUGUUCUUUUGUCAGUCUUCUUUGAACAUAUCUUGGUUGAAUUUUCCAGGGUGCCGUUCUUAUUAAGAAUCUGGCAGCCAAGGAACCUUCUGCUCUUGGUUUAGAAACUUAUUACAAACAGUACUAUCUCUGCCUGGCUGCUGCUGCUGCUAGCAUUAAGUGGUAUUAUCCGAACUUGAGCCUUCAACUACUUUGAUACGAGAAGUGUUGUUUAGGUUAGUUUGUUAAAAAACAAGAAGAGAGUAAAAGUGUCAGUCUCAUGAUGCCAAUAGUUUAUUGAGAGAAUUACUGUUGAGCAUUGCUAAUCACUAAUACUUUCUCCAGAGUAUUCUUGUUGGCUCAAAUGCUCAGGUUUCGCUAAUGAACCUGCUUCUUGAUGUUCAGGAUUGAAGCAGAGAAGGGGGUAAUUGUGACCAAUCAUUCUUUAUUGGUAAAUUUCUCUCUGAGAUGGUCGUAGAAGUGUUGUAUAGAAUCCAAUGGUUACAUUUCUCCUGAGGCAUGAAUGAGAUUCAUUGUAAGACAGACAAUCUCACGAGUUAAGUUUAUGUAGUUCUGUAAGAAAGUUACUCAACUUAUCUACCUCAUCUUGGUGUGUUUAAGAUUGCGAACCUAAGGUUGAGAAAUUAAUUAUUUAAUUUUAUCAUCCUUUCCUUUCAUCUUAUAGAAUAGAUACUUCUGUAAUUAUAACUACUAGACAAGGCUUUUCCUGCAUAUUGGUCAAGUCACAAAUUUGAAACAUAUCGAAUUUAAAGUUGACUCCUUGUUAAUACUUUCUUCUUCUCUUCUUCUUCUUCUAUUUUCUAGAGCCGUGUUUUGAAAGAUAAAGUACUAUGCAGAGAAAAACCUGUCAACUAAAUGUGUAAUUAACUUUCGGGACCCGGGUUUAAAAUACUCGUUCUCUCUUUGCCUUUGAAUAUCAGUGUUUAUUUGACUUCUGAAUGAAUUCAUAAAUCUUAAAUUUGGUUCUGGAGUUCUUACUCCAUCCUGAUGAUUCAGUUGUAAAUUUUAGGUCACCUUCAAUGGCUCAUCUGAUCAUGUAAGCAUUGAUGCAACGAGGUUCCCUUCAUUUCUCUUUUCUUUACAACUACGUGUAACUGCUAAUCAAGAUGACUGCAGAUUUCUGAUUAAAUGCUGAAUUGUUUGGUGGCAGCGUUCAGAAUUUAGAAAUUAUCGAGCCACUUCACUCCAAUCUUUGGGGAACAAGUAACAAGAAGAGAAGUCUGUAUAACAUGCUCAAAACAACAAAAACUAUAGGAGGGUACGAAAUUAAAUGUUGGUUGGUUUUCUCUUUUCCACUUGUUGCUGCAAAUUUGAUCGUUUACCUUUACAUCUUCAAGUUGUCAUCUAAAGUAAUAUUUGAUGACGUAAUUGAAUAUCACAUAAAUGAGUCAUUCAUUCCUUAUAGAACAUUAGUUUGAUAUACAGUUAUUGUUAAGUACUCAUGUGAAUAUGUAUGUUUUUAGUCCCUUCCUCAUGUUUAUUUUAAAAUUUUGUGCUUUACUAUCACUGCAAUUUCGGUCAAGUUUUUGUUACAGGUCUAGACUUCUUCGUGCCAAUCUUUUGCAGCCAUUAAAAGAUAUCGAAACCAUUAAUGCCCGUCUGGAUUGCUUGGUCAGUAUCGUACGAGCUUUAUGGUUUUCAUAUCUACAUUUGUGGUGAACUGGCAUCGCAUGAUUCGAUUGCUGUGAUAUUAGUAACAGAAUUGCUUUAGAACUUGCUAUUGAAGAGGUUGGAUAUCAUAAUUCUUUUAGUAAGGGUUACAAGUCUUAUGUAUCUGCCCUACCCACUAUUUCCUUUGAAAGUGUCAAGUAACAAUAAUGUCGACUUAGUACUUAUAAAACAUUCUUAGCCUCGCCAUAGUUCAUAGGUACCAAUUGUGAUUUGGACCAUGGUCUUCCUUGAGAGUAGUUUUUCCAAAUCAGUAAAUCACUACGAAAGAAGUAAAUUUAAACGGGCUAGGAUAACAAGAUUAUUGUGUGUUAGCCAACAUUGCCAUGAGUUGCCACUUACAAAGAGUAUGGUGGAGCGAGAUGAACUAUGCUGGGGCUGCUAUAGAACGAACAUGUGUGAAAAAUCUUUUGUUUCUCCGAUUGAGCUCCUCUCAAUUGUUACAUGAAGGAUCUUCUUAUAUUGAACUCACUAUGACCCCUAUUGCAGCAUCUUCUUUCAUUGAGCUCAGUAUGGCCAAGUAAUGCAUCAGCCAUGCAUUUUAAUUAGCUGAUGCAUUUUAAUCAAUUCUGUAAAAUCAAAUAUUUCAUACCGUCCGUUGAAAUUAUGUACUUUUUUCUUCAUAAAUUUCCUGGAUUAAUUUUCGACUUCACCCUCCAGUUGGCUAGAAAAUUAAGUUUUGUUGGAUUGUGUCUAAAGCCCUACAUUGCCUAAAUAAAGGGAAGAUCUUUGAGAUAUAAGUGAGGUGAGGGCCAACCAUCUCUAUUGAUAUGAGGUCUUUGGGUGAAAUCAAAAGUAAAGUCAUUCUUUCCAACAACUUUCUUAUAUAAUGAGAUAAUGAUUAAAUAAUUCAAUUUGUUCUUGUAUAGUUUCUAUAGGUGCCAGAUACUUCAUCGAUAAGGCGCUGCUUCCUAACCUUUUCUUUUUCUUUUCUAGGAUGAAUUGAUGAGCAAUGAACAAUUAUUCUUUGGGCUUUCUCAAGCUCUCCGUAAAUUUCCUAAAGAGACUGGUAAGUUUGCAGCUACAGCAAUGGUCAAGUGCAAAAAGAGUGUAAGAAAAAAAUGUGAACUAAAAAUCCAAGUUAGAAUUUUGUACAUAAUCGUCUUUCCAUGUUUCUUAUUCAGACAGAGUACUUUGUCACUUCUGCUUCAAGCAAAAGAAAGUUACAAAUGAAGUUUUGCAUCCUAGUGAUGCUAAAAAGAGCCAAAAUUUGAUAUCUAGCAUUAUUCUGCUAAAAACUGCCCUUGAGGCAUUGCCUUUACUCUCGAAGGUAAUAUUCUUUCCAAAUAUAUAGAAGGCUAUUCAAAAGUCCAGCACGUACUUGUGAUGGGUUUGUUCAACAUUUCAGGUACUUAAGGAAGCAAAGAGUUUUCUGCUUGCAAACAUUUACAAAUCUAUUUGCGAAAACGAAAAAUAUACAAACAUUAGAAAGAGGUAACUUGGAUCCUGCCAAUGAUUACACAGUCCUAAUAAUAUGAUCUUUUUGACUAGUAAACCAAUCUUUCUUAAAUAUUUAAAUUAACUUAUUUUGAAUAACACUGCAGAAGCCCUUAGUAAAGUGAAUAUCUAUUUCUUUCAUUUUAAAGAAGUUUUCCUGUUGCAGGAUUGGAGAAGUGAUCGACGAAGACGUUCUUCAUGCAAGGGUUCCUUUUAUUGCUCGCACUCAACAAUGUUUUGCAGUUAAGGCUGGAAUCGAUGGCCUGUUGGAUAUUGCAAGAAGGACGUUCUGUGAUACUAGUGAAGGUUUUUGUCCUGUUAAUAAAUUGAAUAUUUCGGUUAACAUCUUUGUUUUAGAUGAUAGUCAUAUUAUGAAUUAAAAAUCACUGUUCAUGCCAGCUAUACAUAAUCUUGCUAACAAAUAUCGAGAAGAGUACAAGUUGUCCAACUUAAAACUGCCAUUUAAUAAUAGGCAAGGGUUUUACUUGAGCAUUCCUCAUAAAGAUGUACAAGGAAAGCUUCCUAACAAGUUUAUUCAGGUUAAGCAUGACACUUACUUUCUUGUUGAUGUCUUUGCAAUUUUUUGAGUCUCACCUUCUUACCAGUUACCACAAAAUUCAGGUCUUGAAGCACGGGAACAACAUACGAUGUUCUACCCUGGAACUUGCUUCUGUGAGUACUUCUGUUACUGUACGAUGUUAACCACAUAUCAAUGAUCUAAUAGGAGAUAGUCAUUAUCUAUUACCAUAUACAUGUAUGUACAGAUAAUAGUCAUACUUUUCCUUUCUCACAUAUAAAUUUUCGUGCGAGUUGACAGCUCAUCAAUUCAAAAGGUAUAUGGUUUGUAAUCUCUUUAUGUCUUUGAAGCACACAAGAAACAACAAUGAAGGGCCUAACUGAAUUUGCAAAAUUAUUGUAUCGGUUACUCUAUCUGUACUCAUUGUAGAGGGUUGUCAUUCUUACAAUCAUGGAACGUCUUAGAAAUGAUAAAAGUAUAUAACCGAAAAGGUUCGGUCAUUUAACUAUAACGCUAAAAAUUUCAUGUCAUAAGAUAAUGCAUGGCUUAUAGUUCCACACCUCCACCUUUUUUUGGUUCAAACUUUUGCGAUCCUCGUUUGAUUUUGCCAUGAAAAUUAUGUUGUAGGAUGCAGCAAAAUCUUAGUGUCUUUUUCCCAUUUUCAGCUGAAUGUUAGAAACAAGUCUGCUGCAGGAGAAUGCUAUAUACGAACAGAAAUUUGCCUGGAAGGUCAUCUCACAUGCUUAGUUAUAUAGUAAAUCUUCAAUCAUGAGCUACCAAUGAUUUAGUUCACCUAUAUCUCUGAAUUUAAAGUUUAACGAGGACCAGUAAACUACAUGGUAAAAAAAUGUAUUUGGUACCCAAUCAAAUGCAGGACUGGUGGAUGCCAUAAGAGAGGACGUCUCUAUGCUAACACUGCUCGCAGAAGUCUUGUGUCUUUUAGAUAUGAUUGUCAAUUCAUUUGCACAUACAAUAUCAACAAAGCCUGUUGAUCGAUAUACUAGGCCAAACUUUACAGGUAAGCAAACAUGUUUUCCUGCCUUUCAUUCGGUCCUGAUGUUUCUGAAUGCAACAACAAAACUGACAAUGAUUGAUUUUUCUUGAUACAUAUAGAGAAUGGCCCGAUGGCAAUUGAAGCUGCUAGACACCCAAUCCUAGAAAGUAUACACAAUGAUUUCGUUGUACGUAUAACUUCCUUGCCAAUUGCUAAUACUAUAGCAAUAUAGGAUUGUCUUGUAUGUAGACUCUUUUUCUUGUCUUUUUUAUGGAAAUUUGAGUUUUUUCUUUGCAGGCUAAUAGCAUAUUUCUAUCGGAAGCAUCCAACAUGAUAAUCGUCAUGGGUCCAAAUAUGUAAGAACUCGCCCCAUGAAGUGAUUUAGAUUGCACAAAAAAUUGUUGAUUUAUUUUUCUUGUUUCAUCUUGGCUAACUUCUUUGAAAUAAAAUAAUUCAGAAAAGAGAAUAAGGUAAUGAUCUAUAAAGUGAUAGUUACCUAAUAACUCAAAAGGGAGAGCACUUACGAACUAAAACUGCAGUUUGAGAUGCUAAAAGCACCCCAUCAUCUUCGUGGCACCUUUGUCAAAAACUACUCGCGAAACUAAUACAUGAGGGAAAAUUAUAAGCCUAUCCAUCAUUGGAAACACAAGAUCAAUGUUGUUCCAUUAGUAUCAAAUAGACAUAAUAAAUACAGUGUAAUAAUUGUAAGAGACGCUCUGAAUAUCUCUUCUUAAUAAUAAUAAUAAUAUCAUAUCAUAUUAUAAAUAAUCUUGGAAACAUUGAAAAAUAUUUAAUUGUGGCACAUAUAUAUAUUCACUGAGACGCCAUCUUUUCUGUUUUUUGUAAAACAAUAUAAUUUCCACAAAUGUCCAAUCCAAGGGGAAAAACAUUAUACAAUGAUUUCAUUGAUACUCAGGAGAAUGAUCUGAAUUUAGGUAAAGGUAUAUGUAAUUUGAAUAUCGUUUAAACAUCUCAUAGACAGUUAAGCCAGGGGAAAAUUAAUUAACCCUUCCAGUUAAGAUUCAGGUUGCCAUUGUACAACUUGGAAGUCUUUAGAUGUCAUGCUGUAACAAACUACAUUUUCUUGCAGGAGUGGAAAGAGUACCUAUCUUCAACAAAUGUGCCUUCUAGUUAUUCUUGCUCAAAUUGGAUGUUAUGUUCCAGCACAUUUCUCAACCUUGAGAGUUGUUGAUCGCAUAUUCACACGAAUGGGCACAGAUGAUAGUCUAGAGUCCAACUCCAGCACAGUAAUUGUUUUCCUACAUGAUUCAUACUUAUUUUCUUUUACAAAGAAAGCAUAUUUUCAUUAUACUUUACGGUUUGCAGUUCAUGACAGAGAUGAAGGAAACGGCUUUUGUUAUGCAGAAUGUCUCCCAAAGGUAAUUUAAUCUACUGUGAACCUGAACUUGAAGAAUCCUCAAAAUGCUCGACAUUUUAUUGAAACAUAUUGUUCACUGGAAUGUAGGAGUCUCGUUGUCGUGGAUGAACUUGGGAGGGCAACUUCUUCCUCUGAUGGAUUUGCAAUUGCAUGGAGCUGCUGUGAAUAUCUUUUGACACUGAAAGCGUGCAUAUAAUAUCCUUACCAACUAUUCUACUUGAUUGCCAAAGAUGCAAAUAAUAUUUUAGAUAAAGCGUGCAUGCAUACUGUUUUCAUCAUAGUAAUCAAUAAGGUUUAAAAUGCAUCAACCUAGUCAUAUCUCAACUGGUGAAGCAAUAUAUUAUCAACCUAAAGGUCGAGCUUCAAAUCUUCAGUGUCUAGUCCUUUUUUGUCCCAUGUAAAAUUCAUUGCUCAUCAUUUCUUAUUCUAGUUUAAUCACUAGUAUGUCCAUAGAUAUGGAAAAACUUUAUGCUUGUCAAAAUAAUAACAUGUAGGAUCCAUAAACUAAAUAUAUAUCAUUUAAUUAUGAUAAAUUUGAGAGUAGGUAUUACAAUAGUAGUAAAAUUUAUUCAGAUUUGGGUUCACAAGCGAACUUCAACAAAAUGUACUUACCGCUUCUUUGUCUGCCUCAGCUAUACCAUAUUUGCCACUCAUAUGGAGGGCCUAUCAGAGCUGGCAACCAUCUAUCCAAACGUAAAAAUUCUUCACUUCCAUGUGGAUAUAAGGAAUCACCGUUUGGAUUUCAAGGUACUGUUUUCCAGUUCUGUUAGUCUAUAAUCCCUUUUAUCGCCUUUUUUCUGACUGAAAGUUUGCAUCGACGAUUAGUUUCAACUAAAGGACGGAAUAAGACAUGUACCACACUAUGGCCUUUUAUUAGCAGAAGUGGCAGGAUUGCCAAGCUCGGUUAUUGAAACUGCAAGAGACAUUACUUCCAGGAUCAAGGAGAAGGUAAUUAAGUCUUUGAUAGAAUUGUUAUGUUUUAGUGAAACCAAAAUUUACCAAUUCAUGAACAUAUUUCUCUUGCCCUCUGUCUCCAAGUAGCGAAUUUGACCAAGAAAGAGGAUUGAGGGUCUGUUUAGAUUGCCCAGGGAAUUUUUUCUCUUUCAAAAAGGUCAUUUUUAUUUUAACUUUUUUUAUAAGAACUAUUUAAAAUAAAAUUUGAAAUUAUUUUAAAAACUAUUUUGAUUGGUUGAACACUUUAGUUUUUUUUUCAAAUUAAACCAAACCCACUGUAACUAUUUAGGUUUAGAUCACUAGCAGAAAACAGUACUUUACCUUUCCAACAUCAUGCUCUUUUAGGCUUCAUUUAAAGAUGAACAAAUGAAACCCCUCCAUAAGUAAACUUCUUCAUUUGAUGAAUGGGAUUCAGAAGAUCAUUCCCACUUUUGCAAUUUGUAAACCGCGUCUUCUUGAAACUUUAAAUUGUUUCCACAUAACAUUUCAACAAAAUUAACUGUUGGUAAUGUUGCCUUCACGUUUCUUGUAGUAACGUCUAAAUGCUUAAUUAAAUUUUGACGACAAAAACAAGUAUUUAAAAACUAUGUUUUUAAAAGUUAUCUUGUUUUUAUUUUUCUUAAAAAGAAAACAUCGGUGAAAAGUAGAUUAAAAGAAAAAAAGCCCUUAUAGGUGGAAGUAGUGUUUAUAAACUUGUUUGGAUGAGUAUUGAAAAAAUGGAGUUAACGAAUGCAAAUUACAUAACCUAAGAAACAACCGUUUAGGUUCCAUGUAGUCUAACUCUAUUUCCCACUUAUGGGGCAGGAUCCAUUAUUUUUGUGCUCUAAUAUUCAAUUUGUGUUUGCAAAAUUAUGAUAAUCUUAGAUAAAAAAAAUGUAAUAUUAUCCAGGAAGAAAGACGAAUGGAGAUAAACCACUUGCAGUAUCAUCCGAUCAGAAUGACUUAUAAUGUGGCUCAACGUCUAAUAUGCUUGAAAUACUCCAGCCACGAUGAAGAUUCAGUACGAGAAGCAUUACGAAAUCUUAAAGAGGGCUACAUUAGUGGCAGGCUCUAAUACUUGGUAAGUUCUAUAUACACAGGUACAACACGAUUAAUAGUAAUUUCAUACUUGUUUAUAAUAUUAAAUUUGUCUUUAUCAAUCAACUAAGCUUUUGGGUCUAUUGAUUAUUUAAGAUCAUGCAAAAACAACUUUUCACUUGCAACUACGAACUUCAUGUUUGAACAGAAAAAGAGAACGAAAAAGGCGAGGGAAUCCAGAAAAGGAGGAGAAAAAAAAGCGCAUAAUGAGUCUUUAAGGUAAUCAAAUAACACCUUUGAUACUAUCAUAAAAAGUUUGCCAGCCUUGGCCUACUUGAAAACAGAGAAUGCUUAGGUUUUUUCUUUCGUCCUAAAAUUACCAAUUCAUGAUAAAUUCGCCAAUGAAAAUUUUGAAACACAACUUCACUAAGACCUAAUAGCAGAGCAUGUUAAUACUUGUGUGAUAGUUAUUAACCAUAAAUAAGCCAUCAUUUUACUGAAGAAAAAAAAAGCAACAUUGGUGAUUGGUUAUAUGGAUGAUUUUAGAUUGCUUAACAUAAUGCAUGAACAGAAGUCAAGAUUUGGGUCAAAAGUAACAGCUAGGACUAAAAUGAGGUUAAGGAGGGUUGGUUUGGACCUUGGCCUAAGAUAAUAUGGUGAUUGGCAUCAGCUUGGUCGAGAUCGAACUUAAAUGUCUAAUAAAGUGUCCUGAGGAGGUCAUGAUUCUAAACUUAGAAAAAUGAAACUAAUAGAAAAUUUACAAAAGUCAAUAUAAAUGACCUUGAACUUCUAAAUGAUAAUCUCGGAAAAAAUUGGAACAAAUAAUAAUAAUAACAAUUAAGAAGCAUGAACCGUUGACAAAAGCAGGAAGAGAAUUUGCUUGGUUUGGUGACUAAUAUUUAGAUGAAUUUAGCUACUCUUAGGAAGUAUCCAAUAGUUAUACGCAAAUUUCACGUAGCAUAUGAAGCAAGUGCAUCAUAAUACCUCAUAGCCUACGGGGAUUUGUCAUCUUGAUUAAACACAAUGUGAAGAUGAUGGUGUGUAUCAGUGUAUGUGUUUCCAGCUUGUUCUAAUGAUGAUAGGCGAUAGUGUGGUAUAGUUCAUGUACUUAAUUUAAUUGUUACGAUGUAUACUACCAAAUAUUUAAUAUAUAUUUAAUGUACAAAAUCAAAUAUCAAGAAAUGAUUGUGACUUAAUAGGGUAAGAUCACGUCUAAACUUGAUAGUCUAAACUUGAUAAUCGCAAUAAUGAAGAAGGAAGAGAAUAACAAAUUAUUACGCUUUUUUUUUUUUUUGGAAAACUCCUAGAUGAAUUAGGGUAAAAAGCACGAAAAAGGAAAAAUGAAUUAUACUAUAUAAAAUAGGAGUUACAAAUUUUUGUUUCUUACGAAGAAAUACCAAGCUCUCUUACAAGACAAAACUUUAGCUAUUAUAUCUUUCAAAUUUUGUUUACUUGUGGGAGAUUUUGGGAUAGUUUGUCAACCAUGAGUCUUCUAUUUAUAGUUGAAAGAAACUUGGUCAUCAAGCAAAUCCAAUGACACACAUUGUCCUUGAUCAAUGUGAAAGAUCCAAUGACUUUGAAUUAUCUUUGCUCAACAUGAAAGAUCUAAUGGUCAUAAAUUGAUCUAAUGUACAAAGUGUAAGAUCCAAUGACCUAAUAUUGUCUUCAAGAAACUUCUUGAAUACUCGGAUAACUCCUUGAAGAAUCACCAUAGAUAAAUCAAUCUUGAAUGUCAUGAAAUAAAGAAUUGUCCUUAUGUUCGUACAUGAACUCCUUCAAUAUAACAUUUUAAAUCACAUCGCUUCUCUAGUAACUUGUAUAGCUACAACAUAUUUUGAUUGAAGUAUUGAAACCCAACAUAUAGCUCUACUAGCAAGAGUGAAGGCAUAUAUGUGGGGGUGAAUUUACUUCUAUCAAGAUAAAGUCACACCCUCCAUUAUACAAUGUAACUUUUCCAGACCAUUUAAUUCAAUUAGUAAUUAGAGUUAUUUUGCAAAUUUUGGAGACAAAUAUCUUUUGAAAAUCUCAUACCCAUGUUAAAGAAAAAAACGUGUAUUUUACCCAAAAUUUAAAAAAUCUUAAACUAUUUAAAUGACUUCAAUCAUAUCUUUGAAUUUUGAAAAGUUUUAUUUUAAAUCUCCUAUUUGUUGUUUGCAAACUUUGUAAGUUUAUUUAGAGAUAGAAAUUUUAUAUUUACUCAGAGAAUAACUCUAAAUACAUAGAUGAAGAUAAAUUAAAACACACAAUUAUAAACUAUACCUAUUAUUACCUUCGUCCUUAACGCCAUGGACUCAAAUCUUCAUUCUUUAAUUCACCAUAUAUUUUUUUUCUAUCUUAGUCUCCAAAUUUACUUUCCUCCUAAACUUCGACCCCCCAAAUUUGCUUUCUUUCAUUUACGACAUUCUUUUUUAAAAUUCUUUCCUUUACAAUGUUCUUAUUUACUUUUUUGAACUCUAUACCUGAAAUUUACUUUGAUAGCGUGUUUAGAUUUGUUCAUAAACAAGGUAUAAAUUGAAAACUUUAUAAAUAUUAGGGCAUUAAGGUUUAAUUGAAAAUGAAACCACAAUUAUAGUCAUUAAUCACAGUAUUUUUACUUUCAAAUUUAGGCAUUUUUCACAAAGCUAAUUACGCCAUAAAACACCAAAAGGAGACCCCAUUCGAUCUCACAUCUUCUCGGCCAGAAACGACCAUGGCGGCUUCACUGUUUCUUUCUCAAAGCCCUAUCGCCAUUUCCACUCCCCGAUCUUCACCUUCCAUUUCCCUUCUCUCUUCUCCUCAAACCCUCAAAUUCCGUUCUUCCCAUUCCAAUUUCCUUUUUAAUCUAUCCAUCGCCGUUUCCCACGCGCCGUCGCGUCUUGCAACUAUCAUCCCUCGAGCUACCGCUUCACCGUCCUCCACCGCAUUUCACGGCCUCUGCUAUGUCGUCGGAGACAACAUCGACACUGACCAGAUUAUUCCUGCUGAGUACCUGACUUUGGUCCCCUCUAAUCCCAGCGAAUAUGAGAAGCUCGGAUCCUACGCCCUAAUUGGCCUCCCUUCCUCUUAUUCCACACGCUACGUGGAAUCUGAAGAAAUGAAAACCAAAUAUUCCAUCAUAAUUGCCGGCGACAACUUCGGGUGUGGUUCUUCACGGGAGCAUGCGCCGGUUGCGUUGGGA